AACACCACCUGCCAACAUUCAGCCUCCUCUGCCCAUCAGCCUUGCUGACACAGGGAGUGGAGAUUUGUGUAGAGAAAUGACUCAUUCAAAUAUGACUUAAUCUAAACCGUAAGUGUAUGAUUUAUUAAUGUGCCACCAGGCCUUACACCAAGAGAGCCAUUCCAGAGAAAAGUCCUUUUUCUCCUGAGAACAGUGCCAGCAGCUGGCUUCGUGACAUUCUGGAAGCCCCGUGCAAUGCUGUCAGGAGCAUAGGGAUUUUACUUUAUCUCCCUUGCUUAUGCUCCACAUAACUGAAAUAUCUCACUGGAAGCUGCAGCAGUGCUGGCCCCUUGCACAGCCAUAUGUGACCACUGCAGAACAAUCAGUUGGAGAGACAGUUUGGACUACAUGGAGGGUGGAGAUAAGGACAAAGUGAAGAAUACACAGGAACCAGUGCCUCCUCCUGGAACUAUGCAACUCCAAGCUGCUUCCAUCAGCUGCUAGGUCCAGUAGGGAGGGACCUACUGAGAGAAGGUGCCUGCUUCCCUUUCCGCUGUGAUUCAUUGCCAGAAAACUCAUUUCUCAGUGACACCAUUGUAAUUACUCAUUUGAUUAUCCCGCAAUACACAUAUAAGAGUCUCAGGAAAACAGUACCAUCAGCAUUAUAUGAGCUAAUUAAAAAUGUGGUGUCCUGGACUCACGAAGCCAGAAUUGCUGAGGAGAUAGCCCGAGAAUCUGAAUUUUUAGCAGACAUUUUUUUAGGUACCUUACCCGCAGGAUCAUUUCUGUGAAUAUCCAUGAGGUGAAAAAGUCUGGGAAACACUGUCCUAGGGUGUGGGGAAGAGCGAGAAAAAGAUUUCCGCUCUGGAAGGUAAACAAAUACUCUCUGGAGAGAGAAGAGGAAUGUCCCUAGCAGAUGUCUCCAGAGAAGACAAGACUUUAAAUUCCGCCAGGGAAAUAUACAAUGUCUAACUUCUAAGGCACAUUUGCCAUUCAAUCAUGCUUUAACCCACGUUGCCAGAAAUUUUUGCUCACUAGGUUUUGACUGUACAGGAAUGUGAAAAUAUUCAUGAAGAGUUGUUUUCCAAUGCUAAAGAAUUGAUGUGUUUUAACAGUUGAAUUAAUUGUAUUGAUUAUGAUCACACCUACUUUUUAUAUAUCUUCAUUUCUAACGUUUCUGUACAAUCCUGCCUUUCCACCUGAUAUAGUUAGGCCUUGUGUCAUCAACCAAAUCUCAUCUUGAAUUGUAAUCGCCAUAAUCCCCACGUAUUUAGGGAGAGACCUGGAGGGAGGUGUUUGGAUCAUGGGGGCGGUUUCCCGCAUGCUGUUCUCAUGACCAUGAGAGUAAGUUCUCAAGAGAUCUGAUGGUUUUAUAAGCGUCUGUCAUUUCCACUGCUUGCACUUCUGUGUCCUGCCACCUUGUGAAGAAGGACGUGGUUGCUUCCCCUUCCACCAUGAUUGUGUUUCCUGAGGCCUCCCCAGCCUUGCAGAGCUGUGAGUCAAUUAAACCUCUUUCCUUUAUAAAUUACUCAGUCUCUGUAUUCCUCUGCAGCAGUGUGAGAACAGACUAAUACAUCACCACUUUAUUUACUUUACUCUCUCCCCAUACCGAGGUUUUCUACAUUUUCUUUCUAGGUCUCUACAGUUUCUGCAAAGAUCCUUUAUGGAACUCUUAGGGAAGCUGGGAUGUAUAAUAAAUAAAGGGCUCUUUUCUUUGAGUCCCACACCCAUUUUCUGUGUAUAAAAAUCUUCAACUCCACUUUUGUCUGUUCUAUUUAAAUGUGUGCACAUUUCCUUCUAAUGUUGUAUAUGAAAAAGAGACACCUCUUAGCAGUCUUUCAUAGAGCAAAAUUUUUUACUUUGAUAAAAUCUAAUUUAUCAAUAUUUUUAAAUUUUAUGGAUCAAUCAUGCUUUUGAGGUUGAAUUUAAGAAUGCUUUGCCUAGCCCUAGAUCCCAAGUAUCUUUUAAAAAUUAUUUUUCUAAAUGCAUUAUUUAUGUUUUACACUUAAGUCUAUAAUCCAUUUUGAGUCCAUGUGUAAGAUUUAGGUUAAGGUCAAGAUUUAUCUGUUUUUGUUGUUUUCUCUAUAAAUGUCAAUUGCUCCAGCACUAUUUGUUUAAAAGCCAAUCUUUCCUCCGCUGAGUUCUUCCUAUAAGUUUGUCAAAAGUCAAUUUGGCAUCUUUGUAUAAGUUUAUUUCUGGAUUCUCUAUUCUGUUUUAUUGAUCACUGCAUCUAUCCCUCUUGAUUAGCUAGAUAAUAAAUCCUACAAUAAGGUAGAAUUCUUCCCACUUUAUUCAUAUUCAAAAUAUUUUAAAGCUAUUCUAGUUUCUUUUUAUUUCCAUAUAUAUUUUAGGAUAAUCUUAUCUAUAUUUACAACAUAUGUUGCUAGGAUUUUGAUAGAAUUUGUUUUAAAUUUGUGUAUCAAUGUAGGGAAGACCUGACAUCUUUACUAUUACGUUGAUCUUCCAAUCAAUGAAUAUGGUAUAUCUCUCAGUUUAUAGCUAUUGUCUUUAAUUUAUUUCAUCAUGGUUUUUAGUUUUCAGCAGAGAAGCUUUAUACAUGUUUUGUUAUACAUGUAUAACAAAAGAAGCCUUAUACACUGACAUUUUAUAUUUUGAACAAUUGUAAAUGGUAUUGUUUAAAAAUUUUGUUGUCUAUGAUAGAAAUAAAAUUGAUUUUUGUAGGUUUAUCUUGUAACCUAUGACUUGCUGAGCUCGCUCAUUAGUUUUUUUAUUGUGAUAAAAUAUACAUGAGAUAAAUUUCAUCAUUAUAAUCAUUAAGUUUAGACAUCAAUUGCAUUAAGUACAUAAAUGCCUUAUGCAACCAUCAUCUCUAUCCAUCUCCAGACCCUUUGCAUCACCCUAAAAUGAAACUCUGUGCCCAUUAAACAAUAACUCCCCAUUCUGCCCUCACCCCAGCCCUUGGUAAUUACCAUCCUACCUUUUAUCUCUAUAAAUUUAACCAUCCCAGGUAACUCAUAUAAGUGGAAUCAUGCAGUGUUUGUCCUUUUGUAACUGGUUUAUUUCACUUAGCAUGAUGUCUUCAAGGUUUGCCUAUGUCAUAGCAUGUGUCAGAAUUUCAUCCCUUUUUAAACUUAAAUAAUAUUCCACUGUAGGCAUAUGCCACAUUUUGUUUAUUUGUUCAUCUGUUGAUGGGCAUUUGGGUUGUUUCCACCUUUUGGCUACUGUGAAUAAUGCUGCUGUGAUCAUGGGUAUGCAACUGUCUCCUGGAGUCCCUGCUAUCAAUUCUUGUGGGUAUAUACCCAGAAGUGGAAUUGUUGCAACAUAUAGUAAUUCUAUGUUUAAUUUUUUGAGGACCUGCCAUAAUGUUUUCCACAGUAGCUACAUUGUCUUAUAUUCCCAUUAAGAGUUCCAAUUUCCUCACAUCUUCACCAAUACUUAUUGUUUUCUGUUUUUUUAAAUAAUAGCCAUCAUAAUAAAAGUAACAUGGUAUCUCAUUGUGGUUUUAACUGCAUUUCCCUUUUUACUGGAUUGUUUGUAAUAUUGCUGUAAUUGAGUUGUAGGAGUUUUUAAAUAUGUUCUGAAUAAUUAAUUUCUUAUCAGAUAUGUCAUUUGCAAAUAUUUUCUGCCAUUCUCUGGGUUGUCAUUUCACUCUCUUGAUAGUGUCCUUUGAUGCACAGAAGUUUUGAAAUUUGAUAAAGUUUAAUUUGCGUAUGUAUUUAUUUUGUUGCUUAUGCUUUUGGUGUCAUAUCCAAGAAAUUAUUGCCAAAUUCAGUGUCAUGAAGAUUUUCCCCUGUGUUUUCCUCUAAGAGUAUUAUAGUUUUAACUCUUGCACUUAGAUUGAUCCGCUUUGAGUUAAUUUUAGUAUAUGGGGUAAGACAAGGGCUCAAAUUUGUUCUUUUGUUUGAAGAUUCUAGGUCAUUUGUGAUCUUUAGGAUUUUCUAUGUAGACAUUAAUGUCAUCUUCAAAUAUGAACAGUUUAUUUCUUCCUUUUGUAUAUGUAUGAAUUUACUUUCCUUUUCUUGCCUUAUUGCACUGGCUAGAGUUUUCAGUACUAUGAUGAAUAAAAUCAGUGAGAGCAGACACCCUUGCUUUGUUUCUAAUCUUAGGAGGAAAGCUUUCAGUCUUUCAUCAUUAGGUAUACUGUUAGUUGUAGGCUUAUUAUAGAUGCUCUUUAUCAGGUUGAGGCAGUUUCCUCCUUGGUUAAGACUUUCUAUUUUUCAUUUUCAGUUAUGACCAGGCAUGUUCAUAACUGCUCAUCAAAACUUUGAAUUAGUGGCUGCUUUAACAUCCUUCUCAGACAAUUCUAACAUCUGUUUUGUUGGUGGUGGCAUCUAUCAAUUGUCUUUUUCAUUCUGUUUGAGAUCUUCCUUGCGUUUGGUAUGAUUUUUUUAAAUAUUAUGUCAUGAAACUGCAUCUUAUUUAAAUCUUCUGUUUUAGUUGGCUAUGUCUGACAUCACUUCCCCAGGGGAAGGUGUUGUUACUGCUAGUGGAGGGUGAGAAUUAUGGCUCUCCACUGACAUUGUGGUGGGAUUGGUCCCAUUACCACUGGGCAGGGUUGAAAGUCCUGACUUUCUGCUAGGCCUUCUCUGACUUCAUCGCAGCAGGAGGAAAAGAUGCCUCUGGAGUUGAAGUCAGGUUGCACUGACACUGUGUGUGUAUGGAGGUAGGCUGGGGUGAAAGUGGAGACUCAUUACCACAUGGUGAGUAGUUUCCAGCUCUCUAUUUGGCCUUCUCUGAUACCACCCAGACAGGGACAUUGGGGAUACCUCAUUACAGCCUAGUGAGGGUCAAACUCUAGGCUCCCCACUCAGUCUUUGCUAUCAUGGACACUGUAGGACCAUAGUUUUUUCUGUGCUGUUUGCUUGAUGUGUCUUCCUUGGACCCUGAGUUCCAUAGCUGGUCUGCAUUCCUCUCUCCACCUUUAAGACGUCUUCUUAUGUUUAUUUCAUAUUUAACAUCCAGGGUGGUAAUUAGAGGGAAGAAUAGAGGGAAAAGUACAGUUGCACUUUGUUGUUCAAAGAGCAGUUUUGAACUGCACAGACCCAUUUCUCUGAGCACACCCAGGGAUGAUUGUACUUGUAUAAAAUUUUUUUCCUGGAUGCAGAAUUCUCAAUUGACUGUGAAAGUUCAUAACAAAGAAAACAGUGGGGAAGACAAAUCUGGAAAUGAGGAAAAUAAAAAUUAAAUAGUGAGACCACCCAUGGAGCUUGUGGCAAAGCCUGAAUUGAAUCCGCUGUAUCUUAAGAUUGUGCCUCAUUCUAAAUUUAAGUCACCCUUCUCAUUAUGAAAGUGUCACAACUUCUCAGUAGGUGAGGAGACAGUCUAAAUUUGAGAAAAGAAAGUUACAACAAAGGUUUUGAGCAAGCUGCUAAGUGGAUUUAUUCAUGUUUGAGAAAUCAAAUAUAUGGUUAAUGAGCUCUUUAACUAGAAGCCAACACUAGGGAGGAGUAGACAGAAGUCACGGGGAGGGAGCCCCCGGACAUUUCAAAAGACUUUGCCCUGCAACAUCUCCUCCACAUUUAAGCUUUUAGGUUAUUGUAGCCACAUCACAAGCAUGUUACCUACCCAGAUAUUGUCUGCGCAUCAUUCCCAAAAGCUUCCCUGGGUCUUCAUAAUAUUAAUGAGAUUCUCCCCCAGGUUAGACCCCUUUGGCUUGAGUCAGAAACAGAAUUAAUCCGGGGGACAAUCCAGCAGCACCCAUCUCUGGGUUGCAGAAAUAUCUGAGGUGACCAGGCAGUGUUUGGAGUCCCCUCAGUUAGCUAACAAAGUGAGUUCACAGCUUCCAAGACCCCAGGCUUUCCAGGCUAAUAAAGAGCUGAGGUUAUAGGCUCUCCUUAUCAAACGCUCUUUGGCAGCUGCCAUAACCAUUCCAAGUCUAGUCCUAGAAUAGAAAUGACGCGGUUUCAGGAGCUGACAGAUGGAACUUUAAGCCUUCCUUCCUGCCACAUCUGAAGUUCUUUUUUAAAAAAAUAGAAAACCAUGACAAUAAACACUCCUUGAAUGCCCUGUGGAAAAGUGUACUCCUCAGAAUUCACUAAAGUGGGGUGAAGCAGUGGGUUGUGGUGCUGAGAAAACAUCUCUUCCCCUCGGCAGUAUAUUGGAAUCUCAUAGAAACUUCUGUGGCUGGGAAGCAAACAUGCUCUCUGCCCCAUUGCUCUUAUUCAUCUUUAGACCUGAUAAUACAGUUUGAACUUCAAGUUGCACUUUAAAUGGCAUGCAUUUUUA
rnacentral:lncRNA from 1 species